rnacentral:lncRNA from 1 species
GUUCUGGAGGAUCGGAGACCACUGCGGCCUCUGUCUCCUGUGACAGUCGCGGCGGGGAGGCCCGCGGAGGACGCGGGAUGUCUGCAAAGCCUGCCAUGGAGUCGGUGUCGUUUGAGGACAUUGCGGUGUACUUCACCUGGGAGGAGUGGCAGGUCCUAGACGUGGCUCAGAAGCUGCUCUACAGGGACGUCAUGCUGGAGAACUACAGUAGCCUGGUGUCCUUGGGCUGCUGCGUGAUCAAACCUGAGUUGAUCCUCAUGUUGGAACGUGAAUUUGGGCCGUGGAGGGUAGCAGAUACCUCAAUCUGGAACCUUCCAGGGUACUGCAUAACCAGACCAGAAUUGAACAUCAAGUUACAGCAUGGAUUUGAGCCAUGGAGUGGCUCGGAAGCCUCACUCUGGAACC